CUUUAGUGUAGAAGUUUCUGCACAGUUCUCUUGGUUAUUAUUUGCAAGUUUAAGGAAAAGAAAAUGAUGAAGGAGAAAGAGAAAACCAUUGCUAUUGUGAAGGUUAUAGACACUUCAAAGUUAAAACUGUUAUCUGGAAGUAUUUUGGAUGUGUAUAGUGGUGAACAAGGAAUU
rnacentral:sRNA from 1 species